rnacentral:ncRNA from 1 species
UGGACANGCUUGACUGCAAGACUCACCCGUCGAGCAGAGACGAAAGUCGGCCUUAGUGAUCCGACGGUGCCGAGUGGAAGGGCCGUCGGUCUA